AUGUUUGGGUGGUCAUUGGUGGGGGACUACGAUGGCAUGAAUCGUAUGAAUCAUCUGGGCCAUAGACUGUUGUGGUGGUUGUGUAUGGUUGUUGGUGGGUAAGGUUUGAUUCUUGGUUUUGAGGUUGAGUGUGUGGCAUGAAUGGGUUGCGAGGUUGGGUGUUUGAUUGUUAUGUGUAUAUGGUAGGGUGAUGGUGUGAG
rnacentral:lncRNA from 1 species